rnacentral:rRNA from 1 species
CGUACACUCCUGCGGGAGGCAGCAGUGGGGAAUAUUGCACAAUGGGCGCAAGCCUGAUGCAGCCAUGCCGCGUGUAUGAAGAAGGCCUUCGGGUUGUAAAGUACUUUCAGCGGGGAGGAAGGCGAUAAGGUUAAUAACCUUGUCGAUUGACGUUACCCGCAGAAGAAGCACCGGCUAACUCCGUGCCAGCAGCCGCGGUAAUACGGAGGGUGCAAGCGUUAAUCGGAAUUACUGGGCGUAAAGCGCACGCAGGCGGUCUGUCAAGUCGGAUGUGAAAUCCCCGGGCUCAACCUGGGAACUGCAUUCGAAACUGGCAGGCUAGAGUCUUGUAGAGGGGGGUAGAAUUCCAGGUGUAGCGGUGAAAUGCGUAGAGAUCUGGAGGAAUACCGGUGGCGAAGGCGGCCCCCUGGACAAAGACUGACGCUCAGGUGCGAAAGCGUGGGGAGCAAACAGGAUUAGAAACCCUGGUAGUCCC